AGUAACAUCCGGAAACGGGUAGCUAAUACCGCAUAGUUUUCUUGAUCGCAUGAUUGAGAAGGAAAGACGGCCUUUGUGCUGUCGCUUAUGGAUGGACCCGCGGCGUAUUAGUUAGUUGGUGAGGUAAUGGCUCACCAAGACGAUGAUACGUAGCCGACCUGAGAGGGUGAUCGGCCACAUUGGGACUGAGACACGGCCCAAACUCCUACGGGAGGCAGCAGUAGGGAAUCUUCCGCAAUGGACGAAAGUCUGACGGAGCAACGCCGCGUGAGUGAAGAAAAGGUUUUCGGAUCGUAAAACUCUGUUGUCAGAGAAGAACAAGUUGGAGAGUAACUGCUCCAGCCUUGGCGGUAUCUGACCAGAAAGCCACGGCUAACUACGUGCCAGCCGCGGC
rnacentral:rRNA from 1 species